rnacentral:pre_miRNA from 1 species
AGUGGAAUUGCUGGGUCAUAUGGUAAUGGUAAUUUUUUGAGGAACCGCCAAAAUGUUUUCCACAGCAGCUGGGCCACGCCAUAGUCCCCUCAGCAGU